GUGAGUUGGCUCAGGGGGUAAGAGCACUGACUGCUCAUCCAAAGGUCCUGAGUUCAAAUCCCAGCAACCACA
rnacentral:tRNA from 1 species